GUUAGACUAACAUAAAAUUGUCAACAGUUAUUUGGGACAAUACACACAUAAACUAACAAAAUAGCAAAACAAAUAGUUCCCCAUGGAUCGCCUGAGUAUAUAGGCAGACUCUUGAGUUGAUAAUUUCUUCCCAAAUGUAAUGUCCCGGCUGGCUGAAGGACUGGACCAAGGUGCAGCAUGUCAGCUAUGUCUAAUAUCGUCAUGGAGACUCUCCUGUCCUGGGACCUGGUGUCUAUGGUCAUCAUGUUGUUCCUUGUCUCUACAGAGUCAGCAGGUGACUCAACAAAAUAUCAGAAAAAUAAAUCAGCUUCUUUGGGAGAAAUUGUUACUUUGGUUUGCAAUAACUCAGAGACGGAUGCAUCAUACAUCUGGAAGAAGGACACAGUUCUUAUUUUCUCUCAUAGUGACACACUGAAUAAAUCUGAAAGAAAAUUCACCUCUGACAGGAUGAGUGUUGAUCCACCUACAAAGCUGACUAUCUUUAAUGUAGAGUUAAAUGACACCGGGAGCUACAGCUGUCAAAUAACAGAUGUUCAAAGUGGUGUACGGACAAUGGAGUGGAAUUUGACCAUCACUAAUAACCUCACAGAUCAUGCUGAACAUAACCUACGGAGGUUAUUGCUCUUCACAAUUCCAUCUGCUAUUGGAGGAGUGGUUCUCUGCAUUAACAUCUGUUGUAUGGUCUGGCUAUGUAGGAAACGAAAACAGGAACAGACAAGUCAUUGUGAUAAGCGCAAAGAGGAGAGCAAUGCCCAGUCUGAUGGCCACAUUGCCAGAAGAGAACAACACCAGUGGAGUCAGUACUUCGAAAGACUCAACUCAGUCUAUGGACUGUAGUAAUCACACAACAGUUACUUAACAGGCCAAAAAAGAGUCAAGUAUCAUAGACGGGUUAGCUGACAAGGUCACGACAACAAAGCGCAUGCUUCAAUGAGGAAGAAGUCCAUGUGUAGUUGUGGUUCUGGAUGACCAGAUAACUAGCAACAUUGACAAGAAGCUGCUAUGUGGGAAUCUUAGGUGGUUCGUUUCAGCUUGUUGUGUCUAGUUAGUGAUACUGUGAUGGAACAUUUUCUGUUUGUGUUUUUCUAAUAACCAAUUUCUGUGCUCAUGCAAGUGACUGAUUGAACAUGCAGAGGAGGAAUCCUCACUAUCAGUAUGCAAUUUGGCAGUACACCCAGAACCGUGUUUUGAGAACUAAAGGGAUAUCUUAGUUUCAAGGUCUCAGCUUGGAGAGAGGAAGCCUCUUAAGGUAUUGGUCAGUCACAUGCAUGAACCAAACGUUAAUGAUGAAUUAAUUAUGAAUAAUAAAUAAGCUAAAUCAUGCAAAUAUAACUUGUCUGUGUGAGCAGUAUAUAAGAGAACUAACGGGACUAGUCCAGUGAAGCUCACUUCAGACCGACACUUUAUGCAUCUAAGUUUGACUGGGACGUCUUCAGCGUGCUGUAAAUAAACAAUGCUUCAUUUAAGAUUGACUUCAAGUGUCCCUGUGUAGAAUUUCCAUGACAAUGCCAUAUCUUGUUUUGAAGUGUCUUGUCUGAUGCCACAUCUAGCUAAUAUGGCAAAAAUGUGCUAGCUAGCUAAACAACAACUGUAACAGCGUAUUUGAGAGACAACAAGUGCUCAAUGUGCAAAUGUAUUUAAGUCCAAUGGUAACACUUUACUUGACACCCAGCGGCAUACCACGUUAUGACACCCUCAUAACCAUAUCAUAAUAUGUCAUAACAACUGACAUAACGUGUCAUAUCCUGUCAUUAUAUGGUCAUAACACUGUCAUGACCCAUAUAUGUACACCUGUUGUGACACAUAUUGCAUUAUUUUAUGGCUGGUUGGUUAUGAGAUUUACAUAAGAGUGUCAAAACCCACAUUUAAUCAAAUGUAUUUUUUCCCUGCCAAGAAGUUUUCGUUCGUUUUAAAGGUUAUUCUUGUCCUUUGUUGUUAUUGUAAAUAAUAAUUUACACUCAUGUUUUUUUUCAUAUUUUAAAUCAUUUGCAAAAAAUACACUUCAAGACGCUGUCAUGAAGCAUUAUGACCAUCCUGUGUCACUUUACUUGGACUAAGUAAAUAGACUUUAUGACACUGUCAAGAAGCAUUAUGACCAUCCUGUGUCACUUUACUUGGACUAAGAAAAUAGACUUUAUGACACUGUCAAGAAGCAUUAUGACCAUCCUGUGUCACUUUACUUGGACUAAGAAAAUAGACUUUAUGACACUGUCAUGAAGCAUUAUGACCAUCCUGUGUCACUUUACUUGGACUAAGAAAAUAGACUUUAUGACACUGUCAAGAAGCAUUAUGACCAUCAUAAUCAUAAAAUCCAGAUAGGCCUAUCAUGCACUGAACAAAAAUAUAAACGCAACAUGUAAAAUGUUGGUCCCAUGUUUCAUGAGCUGAAAUAAAAUAUCCCUCAAAUGUUCCAUAUACACAAAAAGCAUAUUUGUCUAAACAUAUUCUGCACAAAUUUGUUUACAUCCCUGUUAGUGAGCAUUUCUCCUUUGUCAAGAUAAUCCUUCCACCUGACAGGUGUGGCAUAUCAAGAAGCUGAUUAAACAGCAUGAUCAUUAUAUAGGUGUACCUUGUGGGAACGUGCAAUUGGCAUGCUGACUGAAAGAAUAUCCACCAGAGCUGUUGCCGGGGAAUGUAAUGUUCAUUUCCCUACCAUAAUCCACCUCCAAAGUCGUUUUAAAGAAUAUGACAGUAUGACCAACUGGCCUCUCAACCCGCUAACCAGGUGUAACCAAGCCAGCCCAGGAUCUCCACAUUCAACUUCUUCACCUGCAGGAUCGUCUAAGACCAGCCAUCCGGACAGCUGAUGAAACUGAGGAGUAUUUCCAUCUGAAAUAAAGCCAUUUUGAGGGGAAAAACUCAUUUUGUUUGCCUAGGCCUGGCUCGCCAGUGGGUGAUUGCCCUCCCAGGCCCACCCAUGACUGCGCCCCUGCAAAGUCAUGUGAAAUCCAUAGAUUAGGGCAUCAUUAAUUUAUUUAAAUUGAUUGAUUUUCUUAUAUGAAUUGUAACCCAGUAAAAUCGUUGACAUUGUUGCAGGUUGUGUUUAUAUUGUUUUCAGUAAUACCUUAUUUCAGUCAAAAAGAGUGUGUAUUGUCCUGCUCCUGAAAUCUGUUCCUGCAUUCAUCCCAGUCAUCAGCCACAGAGUAUUGGGGUACUGUAGGUGCAUGUCUGACAUCAAUUUGUGCGCAAUUACAAUGAUAAUUUAAUAUUGUCAAUUUCAGAAAAUGUUAUAUAACAAACAUACUGUUGACAAGUAGGC
ensembl:lncRNA